rnacentral:rRNA from 1 species
UACGUAGGGUGCAAGCGUUAAUCGGAAUUACUGGGCGUAAAGCGUACGCAGGCGGCUUUGCAAGACAGGUGUGAAAUCCCCGGGCCUAACCUGGGAACUGCAUUUGUGACUGCAUGGCUAGAGUUUGUCAGAGGGGGGUGGAAUUCCACGUGUAGCAGUGAAAUGCGUAGAGAUGUGGAAGAACACCGAUGGCGAAGGCAGCCCCCUGGGAUGAGACUGACGCUCAUGUACGAAAGCGUGGGGAGCAAACAGG